AUUCGCCUACGGGAGGCAGCAGUGGGGAAUAUUGCACAAUGGGGGAAACCCUGAUGCAGCGACGCCGCGUGAGCGAAGAAGUAUCUCGGUAUGUAAAGCUCUAUCAGCAGGGAAGAAAAUGACGGUACCUGACUAAGAAGCCCCGGCUAACUACGUGCCAGCAGCCGCGGUAAUACGUAGGGGGCAAGCGUUAUCCGGAUUUACUGGGUGUAAAGGGGGCGCAGACGGCGAUGCAAGCCAGGAGUGAAAGCCCGGGGCCCAACCCCGGGACUGCUCUUGGAACUGCGUGGCUAGAGUGCAGGAGG
rnacentral:rRNA from 1 species